GCAACGAGCGCAACCCUCGCCUUUAGUUGCCAGCAUUUGGUUGGGUACUCUAAAGGAACCGCCGGUGAUAAGCCGGAGGAAGGUGGGGAUGACGUCAAGUCCUCAUGGCCCUUACGCGCUGGGCUACACACGUGCUACAAUGGCGACUACAGUGGGCAGCAACUCCGCGAGGGGAAGCUAAUCUCCAAAAGUCGUCUCAGUUCGGAUUGUUCUCUGCAACUCGAGAGCAUGAAGGCGGAAUCGCUAGUAAUCGCGGAUCAGCAUGCCGCGGUGAAUACGUUCCCAGGCCUUGUACACACCGCCCGUCACACCAUGGGAGUUGGAUUCACCCGAAGGCGCUGCGCUAACUCGCAAGAGAGGCAGGCGACCACGGUGGGUUUAGCGACUGGGGUUGAAUCGUAACAAGGUAGCC
rnacentral:rRNA from 1 species